UUAAGGUAGAUCAUCGGUAUAUAUUUUUUGAGAUAGAAUUUUCUUAUACUUUGCCAAAAUGAAGAUUUUAAUAUGCUUUUUUCAAAAAUGUAAUAAAAAGUAUGGGUCACCGUGCUAUUUUUCAAGCUAUGAGUCGUUGAAAUUGCCUAAAUCUGGUUAGAUUGUUCAUGAAAAAAAACAUUUGUAUGCAUAAAAAGAAAUCUAUGAUAUAGGAUUUUGAAAUAAAUAGUGAGAAGAUAGGUUUUAUAACAUGUUUUAAGAAAAUAAAAAGAAAAAAUGGUGUCACCGAACUUGUUUUCUUGCUACAAGUAAAAAUAAAAAAUUUCCCUAUCAAGCCAGUGUAAUUUUUUACUAAAAGAGUUAUCUCCCCUUAAAUGGCUUAGUUGAAAAAAAUGAUUCCAAAACACAAAAUUUAAUAUAUGUUGGAAUAUUUUGAAUAAUACAAUAAAUCACCAAGUUUUCUUUAAAUAAAUAAACAGUGUGACAAAUAAAUUGCAAAUCUGUCUCCUAAUUUGCAGAUUUGGGCAAAUAACUAGACCGAUUGUGUACUGCGAUUGUACAAUCCAAGAUGGCGGUAUACCAUGAAUCUACCUUAAGUGAAUUUUUGAAGUCCAAGGACCAUAACUCUGCACAAAAUCAUCAGACCGGUACAAAAUUCGAACUUGAUCUGUAACUUGCCAUGAUAAAAC